UCACUGCCUGAGUGAUCCAUGGAGCUGGAUCCGGCCCCUUCCCUCUUCCCAGGAAAGCUGAGAGCUGCCACCAGAGCUGAUCCUGCUGCUCCCACCCACCCCACAGGUCUUUCUAACGGAUUCAUUUCCAGUUUUCCAUUUCCCAGUGUUUUAAAGGCAAGAACCACAAAUAUUUACAAUGCUUUAAUUCUGGUGUGAAAUUAUCCUGCUUUGGGCAAUAAAUCUACUUGUGGCAAUAAAUCCUGCUUUGGGCAAUGUCCUGGAUUGUCACGCAAAUUGUACUCUAUUUACCAUCUGUAUAGCAGUUGUUUUCUGUUAAGUAGGCAGUUUUCCUUAUCUCUUCUACAACCGGGGAGAUAUCUGUUGAUAACAGGCUACUGAAUGUCACUGCCUGACUGAUAAGAACUACAGCAUCCCAGUGUGAGAUGCUCCGCCCAGAGGGGAGAGCCAAGCAUUCCUACCUGGAUAUAAUCUUGAGGUUCUGGACCACCAGCAUGGCUUUCUCCACUGCAUCCCCAGAGGAACAGCAGCUGCUUCUCCUUCCACUGGAUCUUAGAGGAAGACUGCACCUUUCUACAGGAUCCCUGCUCCAAUAGAACCACACCUGACACUCCAGGAGGACUGCAGCCACAUUUCCAAUGGGACUGCUACCAACAACCUGGCCAACAGGGUGUCAGGUUAAUAAGGUGAGGAAUUAAUGGAUUUUUAACUUCCACUGGAAGGCAAGCACAUGGAUUCAGAGCUAUCACACCCUUACUGUAUGGGCCCAUCAAUGCCUUGCCCCAUGACUCAGAGAAAACUCCCUCCAGGAGCCAUUUCUGUUUGAUGGGCAAUCAAGGACCAAUCAUGACUCAGACCGAUAUCAGCCCAUUGGGAGAUGCUCUGCCCAGUGGGGAGGAGCUCAGCAUCCCCACCUGGAUAUCAUCUGGGCUUUGGGACAGAACAGGCAGCCCUUACCCACUGGUUUCUAGAGGACAAGAGCUGCCAGAUCUUUUCUAUGGGAUCACCACAUCAACAAGACCGUUUCAUCUGGACUGCCACCACCACCCUAACUAGCAGGGUGUCCGGU